rnacentral:misc_RNA from 1 species
UUAAUGAAUAUAUUUUUUUUUGUCUGCAAUGGCAAAUAAAUGAAAGAACUUUUAACUCCGUAUAUGCAAAUGGAAUUAAUAUGAAUGCCUAUGUAACUAACCUGAUUAAUUUACCUUCUAUGUUUCCCUAAAUUCCUGUUUAAUCCUCUAUCUACAAAAAAUAUGAAAUGUGUCCUUUUUUUUGGGGGGGUAUCACAUGAGAAAACUCAAGACUUCCCUGAAGGCAGCUGACAGAGUCCUUUGUCUGGGCAAAAGCUGCUCGAUCAGGCACCCAUUGCGACCAACCUUUCUAGGAAAAUGGGUGUCAAAUAAUCCACAACCCCAGCCAGUCGUCAAUUCAUAGUCCCUAUCUUUGCGAUGCAGCCCCAAGACUUGAUUUUACUCUCAUGUUAAAUUUCAGGCUGCUCAAUUGCUCAUGGGACUUGUUACAUACACAACCAGGAAAAGGAUUUGCAUAAAAGUUCUCUUCCAGCCUCGGUGAUUCUCCCGCUUGCCUAAGAUAUGGAGAUCCAACCCUUUUGGAAUGUAUACUCUUAACCUUUGAAGAGAAUUCUUCCCAAGAUAUUGAACCCUCAUCCAACUGAUCAAUCAGCGUAACAAAAUUUUGUCUGUCUGGAUUGAUAGUCUUCCGAAAUCCUUCAAACCUCCUAUGUCCCUGCACUGCUUUGGCCAUAUUUCCAUCAUAUGUAUAA